AAAUUAGGAUAUUCUAGACAACGAAAAGCUAAACAAAGAAAGGAAUGACAAUGAGUGUGGAAAAUCCAUCUACACAAAUCCACUCACUACGAGGAGGUAAUCAAUCUUAUGCUCAGGCAAUUCAUUCGUAUAAAUCACUACUCGGGGUGUAGAGGAAGGAAAUCAGGGGAAUCCCCGGUAUUAAAGUAGACAGAUCAAGACUAGUAGGAAAGGAUACUCCACGCACUAGAGCUUUGUCUGGUCAAAGUGCUCAUUCUAAGGUUCAAUGCGCCGCAGAACGAGUGCUAUUCCUUUUAUGAAAUUACACCGGGAAGGAAUUGAGCAAGCCAAGUCAUUUAACUCACUCC
rnacentral:lncRNA from 1 species